UGCGAGGAGGAGUGAGCCGAGAUCCAAAAGGACAUGGGGUGCAGGGAAGGGCGCCCUGGAUGCUCUGGAAAGGAUGCUGAAUGAGUCUUGGAACCUCCGUUCUUCUCAGGAGAAGUCAGCUUUAAAUCAUACUAUUGUUGGUUCACUUGUUUGUGAUUCCUGGGAAUUUCAGGAUACUGUCCUGGUUGCUCACUACUAUGAACAGCACCACAACUUCAGGCAAGCUGGCUGUGGACUUUCCCAUUUGUUUUAUAUCAAGUUGCUGCUUCUACUGAAAACCUGCUGGAGAUGGGUCUUUUAUCCUCCUCUCCACAUCAAGGCCAACUCCUCCACAGUGAAGCAGCUGGUGGUCACCGCCAGCCAUAGCUCUACUAAAUCCAAGGAUAGAGAGAAGCCAGCAGUCCUAACCAGCACACUUCAGGCUCUCAAGUUCUUAUCAGAAGAUUUCAGCAAUUUGUCUUGAAAAAAGCUUGUCAAGGUGCUAUUUGUAUUUGCUGCCUAGAAAUGAUUUUUGACAUAUUUGUCUAGUCUUACAUUAUUUUUUAAUAUGAGGAAUUGUCAGCCUUUCUGCACUGCCAUAGCUAAAAAUUCUACCCCUUAUUCUUGUUUUUAACUGAGUUAUAAUCAGACUAUAUAUACAAUCUUAUGCUCCAGAGACCCCUGGAUUUUAUUGAGCUAAAUUGGUUUGCUAUCUGAGAAGGUUACAGUUAAAAUUGGCCUACUAAUCCAUUUUGUAUGGAAACUUUUUUUAAAAAUUAGCUAAUCACCCAACAAAUAAGUGGGACUUAGUGGCAAAGAGCAAGUCACACACCAAAGCUAGUGUCUGUACCCAGGAAUCCCCAGAGCUUCAGUAUCUAAGGGGACAAGACCAAGGUGUUUUUGUGGUUUUCAAAUUCCAAAACACCUAAGGCAAAGUCACACCCCACAGCAAAAGAGAAUGUCAAAUGGCUUUACUUUGGACUGAAUUCUCACACUUCAAUGAGAAAGUACAAACUCACACUGGCCUGCAGCAAUGUUGGCUUUUUAUAAACAUUCAGAUGAUUAACAGUGGAUAGGCACCUUCAUAAUUACAUAAUAAAAUCAGUCAAUAUGAUCUGAAAA